rnacentral:tRNA from 1 species
GUCCUUGUAGUAUAAUAAUUACCCUGGUCUUGUAAACCAAAAAUGAAGCAUAACCCUUCCUAGGACA